rnacentral:rRNA from 1 species
AGGACUAACGCUGGCGGCGUGCCUAACACAUGCAAGUCGAGCGGGGUAGCAAUACCCAGCGGCAGACGGGUGAGUAACGCGUGGUCAACCUUCCGUUGAAUGGGGGAUAACUAGCCGAAAGGUUAGCUAAUACCGCAUACGAUCUUUUGAAGGCAUCUUUAAAAGAUGAAAGGAGCAAUUCGUUCAACGACGGGACUGCGUCCCAUUAGCUAGAUGGUGGGGUAAUGGCCUACCAUGGCAACGAUGGGUAGCUGGUUUGAGAGAGCGACCAGCCACACUGGGACUGAGAAACGGCCCAGACUCCUACGGGAGGCAGCAGUGAGGAAUUUUCCGCAAUGGGCGAAAGCCUGACGGAGCGACGCCGCGUGUGGGAAGAAGGCCUUCGGGUCGUAAACCACUGUCGAAGGGGACGAUAAUGACGGUACCCUUGGAGGAAGCCCCGGCUAACUACGCGCCAGCAGCCGC